rnacentral:rRNA from 1 species
AAAUUGAAGAGUUUGAUCAUGGCUCAGAUUGAACGCUGGCGGCAGGCCUAACACAUGCAAGUCGAACGGUAACAGGAAGCAGCUUGCUGCUUUGCUGACGAGUGGCGGACGGGUGAGUAAUGUCUGGGAAACUGCCUGAUGGAGGGGGAUAACUACUGGAAACGGUGGCUAAUACCGCAUAACGUCGCAAGACCAAAGAGGGGGACCUUCGGGCCUCUUGCCAUCAGAUGUGCCCAGAUGGGAUUAGCUUGUUGGUGAGGUAACGGCUCACCAAGGCGACGAUCCCUAGCUGGUCUGAGAGGAUGACCAGCCACACUGGAACUGAGACACGGUCCAGACUCCUACGGGAGGCAGCAGUGGGGAAUAUUGCACAAUGGGCGCAAGCCUGAUGCAGCCAUGCCGCGUGUAUGAAGAAGGCCUUCGGGUUGUAAAGUACUUUCAGCGGGGAGGAAGGUGUUGUGGUUAAUAACCACAGCAAUUGACGUUACCCGCAGAAGAAGCACCGGCUAACUCCGUGCCAGCAGCCGCGGUAAUACGGAGGGUGCAAGCGUUAAUCGGAAUUACUGGGCGUAAAGCGCACGCAGGCGGUCUGUCAAGCGCCCGCACAAGCGGUGGAGCAUGUGGUUUAAUUCGAUGCAACGCGAAGAACCUUACCUGGUCUUGACAUCCACAGAACUUUCCAGAGAUGGAUUGGUGCCUUCGGGAACUGUGAGACAGGUGCUGCAUGGCUGUCGUCAGCUCGUGUUGUGAAAUGUUGGGUUAAGUCCCGCAACGAGCGCAACCCUUAUCCUUUGUUGCCAGCGAUUAGGUCGGGAACUCAAAGGAGACUGCCAGUGAUAAACUGGAGGAAGGUGGGGAUGACGUCAAGUCAUCAUGGCCCUUACGACCAGGGCUACACACGUGCUACAAUGGCAUAUACAAAGAGAAGCGACCUCGCGAGAGCAAGCGGACCUCAUAAAGUAUGUCGUAGUCCGGAUUGGAGUCUGCAACUCGACUCCAUGAAGUCGGAAUCGCUAGUAAUCGUGGAUCAGAAUGCCACGGUGAAUACGUUCCCGGGCCUUGUACACACCGCCCGUCACACCAUGGGAGUGGGUUGCAAAAGAAGUAGGUAGCUUAACCUUCGGGAGGGCGCUUACCACUUUGUGAUUCAUGACUGGGGUGAAGUCGUAACAAGGUAACCGUAGGGGAACCUGCGGUUGGAUCACCUCCUUACCUUAAAGAA